UGGGCCUACGAGGCCGGAGCUCGUGUUUAUAUAUGACGGGUCUGACUCGAUUUGUUUUAAGCCCGACUAUAAAAUGCGAUAAUUCCAAUGGAUCCUUCAUGCUCGAGUGGAGCCUCGUCAGAUUUCAAGUUCUCGGCUGGUAGUCGGGGGAUGCAAAGCUGCUGUACCUGGUUUUCCUUGUUCGACCAGCCUUCCGGUGGAAGGUUGGCUGGCUUUGUCUAUGUGUAGUUAUUGGGAAUUCAUCUUCCAGCAGGGUAUGAUCUUAAUCAAGUAAGUUUCAGGCGCAAAGCGCGACAUAGAUUCUUUGGCAGGUUCCUCUCCCUCUAUUAUGCACGCUUGCUUUUUUGUCUUCUAUUGUCUACGUCAUUGAAUUUUAAGAAGUUUACGGUUGGUUGCCGUUGUCUCUGUGUAGUUAUUAUUUCUUUAUAUUCCAGUAUGGAAUGAAUCUUAAUCAAGUGUCAGGCGCAAAGCGGCACAUAGAUUCUUUGGCAGGUUCCUCUCUCUAUACACACUUGCUUUUCUUGUCUUCCAUUCUCUACGUCAUUGAAUAAUAAAAAGUUUACGGUUGGGUGGUAUUGUCUGCGUGUAGUUAUUGGUUAUUUUAUCUUUACAAAUUUAUAAUCAACUGGUUCACAAUAGGAGAUGAAUCUUAGUCAAGUGUGUGUCAGUCACAGAUGUAAAUUUCACAAAAAAAAGGUAAAUAGCCAAUAACUACAUACAAACAACACCAACCAACGGUAACUUUUCAUAUUCAGUUUCGCAUAGAUUCCUUGGCAGGUUGCUCUUUCUCCCCCGACACACAUGCACACACUUGCAUGCUUAUGUCUAUAUUUGCACAUACGUGUAGACAGAUACCUUGAAGUAUAGUAAAUGCUUUUCUUUCUUUACUUCUAUCUUAUAGUAUUUUUUAUUUUUCAUGCUUCCUGAAUAUAUGAGCAAUUUCUGUUUCUGUUCUUCUUGCCGCAAAAUUGUAUGUCAAUUUACCAUUUAUACACUGAUUUUAGGAUCUCCCCACCCCAUAACUUGAAAUGCAUCUUUUCUAUUUCUAUUUCUUUUUCUGCAGAACAUGUUCUGAAUAGCUCAAGUAUCUGAUGACUGCAUCAUCAAUUUAUGUAACUAAUGUAAGUGUGAAUUCUAAGUAUUGUGUGGAAUUCAGUUUUUUCUAAGCUGUUAUUGUGUAUUUUUCUGAGGUCCCUUCAACUAUUUAUUGAUGAGUUCUUUUAAUUCAUUGUUUCCUUUUUACCAGGCCAUGUUUACUACAUAGGAUUAAACCAAUUUAACACAGAUUGUUUAAUCACUGACAGCAAACAUGGCCCAAAAGUGACAGAGUUUGGAGCUUUGGAAAAAAUUAAUCUAAAUGAAUGUUAUGUGUAUAUUUAGAUUAUAUGUAUAUAUUGUUUGCCUUAUUCUAAAUUAAUGUUUGUAUAUAGCAUAUGUUAUGUGUUUGUUUGUUUGUUUUAUCCUCAGUGAGAUUUUUACUACAUUCACUGCUCAAAUCAACUUUGACAGACUGGGGAGCAGAGCAGUCAAUAUGUAUACAUAUACAGCUUGAUGGAGGAAAUGUAUUUAAUUAAUAAAUAUAUGGAUGUAUGCGUGUGUGUGUGUGUGUAAGGUAUUGGUUAUUUAUGGGUGUGGCAGGCAGGGAAUGAGAUCAUGCGGUGAGUAUUUGGAUGUCGUCAUGUUCAUGUAUGUGUGUAGAGAGAGAGAGAGUGAGAGAGUUAGCGGUUACAACGCCAGUCGGUUCUUCUCUCUCUCUCUCUCCCUUUUUAUUUUUUAUUAUUUUUUAAAUUAUUUCAGCUUCAGGAGUAACUAGUUUGGUGGCGGCUAGGAUAAUUGUUGAUAAUUAGAGAAUAAUGAUUAUGAUACCUACAUU